rnacentral:rRNA from 1 species
GAUGAACGCUGGCGGCGUGCCUAAUACAUGCAAGUCGAGCGAAUGGAUUAAGAGCUUGCUCUUAUGAAGUUAGCGGCGGACGGGUGAGUAACACGUGGGUAACCUGCCCAUAAGACUGGGAUAACUCCGGGAAACCGGGGCUAAUACCGGAUAACAUUUUGAACCGCAUGGAUCGAAAUUGAAAGGCGGCUUCGGCUGUCACUUAUGGAUGGCCCCGCGUCGCAUUAGCUAGUUGGUGAGGUAACGGCCCACCAAGGCAACGAUGCGUAGCCGACCGGGGAGGGUGAUCGGCCACACUGGGACUGAGACACGGCCCAGACUCCGACGGGAGGCAGCAGUAGGGAAUCUUCCGCAAUGGACGAAAGUCUGACGGAGCAACGCCGCGUGAGUGAUGAAGGCUUUCGGGUCGUAAAACUCUGUUGUUAGGGAAGAACAAGUGCUAGUUGAAUAAGCUGGCACCUUGACGGUACCUAACCAGAAAGCCACGGCUAACUACGUGCCAGCCGCCGCUGUAA